GUGGCCAUGGGCUACGCGCACUCGCUGGUGAUCGCCCGGGACGAGUCGGAGGCGGAGCAGGAGAAGCUGCGGAAGCUGCCCGAGUACAACCCGCGCACGCUCUGAGCUGUUCUCCCGGAGCACAGCCCCGCCCGUCCCGAUCCCGCUCCCGCUCCCGCUCCCGCUCCCGAGCCCUCGGGGGCUCCUUCCCGGCCCCUUCCCGGCGCCGGGAGCUGCCGCCGGCCGCGGGCCCUCCGGGCUCGCCCCGCCUCGGCUUCCACGGGCUCCGCCCUUGCGUCCUUCUGGUUUGGUUUCUCUCUUCCCGCAGCAUUUCCUUCCCGUUUCCCUUUUUCCCGGCCCCGACCCUUCCCGGCUGCCGGCUCGGGAUCGCCCUGGGGAUCUGAUCCCGCCUUGGGAUCCCUGUAGGGAUUCGGGAUCCCUAAAGAGCAGCUGCGAACGCCUCUUUCCCCGCCCCAAUAUUCCCGGUUUUUUGCUGGUUUUCCCCACUUCGGGUGCUAUCGUUUUCGGGAUUUCCCCCCUCCUGGGGAUCCAGGACCCGGAUUCCAUCCCAGCAGCAUUCCCGGGCUCCCCUCCCCGCUGUGGCAGCCCUCGCCCACCCCGGGGACAUCUCAGGGAUCACGAGGGGAGUCCCAAAGGAGCUUUUUGUUGGUUUGUUUUUUUGGUUUUUCCCGGGAAUCCCGGCGCGGGGGGAGCAGCUGGCUGGAAAAUCCCAAAUCCCGCUUUUUUUAGCAAUAUUUCGGGGUUCGGCCGCAGCCCCGAGGAAUUGGGGUGGGGAAUCACCAAAACCCCACUCGGAGCCCCGGGAGCCUCGGGGGGGCCGUUCCCGAGGGAAUCCCGAGAGGCUCCCGGGCCGUUCCCGAGGGAAUCCCGAGAGGCUCCCGGGCCGCUCCCGAGGGAUUCCCGAGAGGCUCCCGGGCCGUUCCCGAGCGGUUCCCGAGGCGUUCCCGGGGCAUUCCCGGCGCGGAGGGGCCGGGCCGGGGGAGGAUCCGGGGGUUUUUGUAUUUCUUGGAGUAAAAAGCGAUGGAACGAGGUCGUUGUGUCCCCCCCGCGCCGCCCCCGGCCCUUCCCGUGCGGUUCGGGUUUAAAUCCCCGGGUUUUGGUGUUUCUCCCUCCUCGCCUCUUUAUUAUUCAAUUUUUUACUUUUCUUUCUUUUUUUCCUCCUUCCCGGGUUUUAUUUUCCCCCCGUUCUCAAUCCCGUUCUUCUCUUUUGCUUCCUUUUAAUCUCUUCAUUUGAAUUUCUGCUUCUUGAGCUGGUAAAUUCCACUCGGAACUGCAUUUUUUCCUUUUCAUUUCUCCUUUUCCGCUUCUUUAUUUUAAUUCAUCUUCUCGCUUUUAGUCCUAAUUUUUAAUUGUUUGUCUCGUUUUUCAAUUCUGCUUUUAAUUUCAUUUUAAUUUCUUUCCACUUGGACCUUUAUUUGAUAUUUUUGACUCUACUUUUUUAUUUCAAUCCAGCUUUAAGGUUUCUUUUACUUUUUUCCCCUCUGAUUUUUGAUUUUAUUUCAUUUCUGAAUUCUCCUUUUCAUUUCUGAAUUCCGCUUUUCAGUUUUUAUUUUGAAAUUCAAGAUUUUAUCCUAUUUUACCCUCAUUUUUUAAUCUUUUUUUCAAUUUUUAAAUUUGAAUUUGAAUUUUUAUUUUUCUUUUUUUCCCUUCAGUUUCACUUUUUUCACUCCCUAUUUUUCAAUGCUCAAUAUUUAUUUUACCUCGUUCCUUUUUGUUUUGCUGCUUUUUAUUUUCACCUCUUGCUCCACACCUUUCCCAAUCAUUUUUUGGCCUGGAAUUUUCGCUUUUAAAACUUUUCUGUUCCGUUUUUUACGCUCCCGUUUUGUUCCUUCCGUUCCCCGAGGGCCCCGCAGCCGACGCUGCUCUUUCCCAAAUCCGCCGGCGCCAUCCUGAACAUCCCCAACAAUUCCCGCUCCCGCUUUUCCCUCUGUGGGGAAUUCCAUCCCUGCGGAAUUCCGGCAGGGCUCGGACACGGCCCCUGUCCCGCUGCCCCGGGGAUGGGCUGGGAUCCCUGGGAUGGGGGCGUGGAUUCCCAAUGGGAAUGGGAAUGGGAAUGGAUGGGAGUGGGAAUGGGAAUGAAUGGGAAUGGGCAGGGGAUGGAUGGGAGUUGGGAGGGGAUGGGAAUGAGGAGGGAAUGGGCGGGGGAUGGAUGGGAAUUGGGAAUGGAUGGGAAUGGGCAGGGAAUGGGAAUGGGAAUGGGCAGGGGAUGGAUGGGAAUUGGGAGGGAAUGGGAAUUGAGAGGGGAUGAGAACGAGGAGGGAAUGGGAAUGGGCAGGAGAUGGAUGGGAGUGGGCAGGGAAUUGAGGGAAUGGGAAUGGGAAUGAGGAGGGAAUGGAUGGGAAUGGGCAGGGAUGGAAGUGAUGGAAUGAGAAUGAGCAGGCCAUGGGAAUUGGGAGGGGAUGGGAAUGGGCAGGGAAUGGGAAUGAAUGGGAAUGGGCAGGGGAUGGAUGGGAAUGAAUGGGAAUGGGCAGGGAAUGGGAAUGGGCAGGGGAUGGAUGGGAAUGGGCAGGGAAUGGGAAUGAAUGGGAAUGGGCAGGGGAUGGAUGGGAAUGAAUGGGAAUGGGCAGGGAAUGGGAAUGGGCAGGGG
rnacentral:lncRNA from 13 species